GGUUAAGCGACUAAGCGUACACGGUGGAUGCCCUGGCAGUCAGAGGCGAUGAAGGACGUGCUAAUCUGCGAAAAGCGUCGGUAAGGUGAUAUGAACCGUUAUAACCGGCGAUGUCCGAAUGGGGAAACCCAGUGCAAUUCGUUGCACUAUCGUUAACUGAAUACAUAGGUUAACGAGGCGAACCGGGGGAACUGAAACAUCUAAGUACCCCGAGGAAAAGAAAUCAACCGAGAUUCCCCCAGUAGCGGCGAGCGAACGGGGAGCAGCCCAGAGUCUGAAUCAGCUUGUGUGUUAGUGGAACGGUCUGGAAAGUCCGACGGUACAGGGUGAUAGUCCCGUACACCAAAAUGCACAGGUUGUGAACUCGAAGAGUAGGGCGGGACACGUGGUAUCCUGUCUGAAUAUGGGGGGACCAUCCUCCAAGGCUAAAUACUCCUGACUGACCGAUAGUGAACCAGUACCGUGAGGGAAAGGCGAAAAGAACCCCGGCGAGGGGAGUGAAAAAGAACCUGAAACCGUGUACGUACAAGCAGUGGGAGCACCUUCGGGUGUGACUGCGUACCUUUUGUAUAAUGGGUCAGCGACUUAUAUUCUGUAGCAAGGUUAACCGUAUAGGGGAGCCGCAGGGAAACCGAGUCUUAACUGGGCGUUAAGUUGCAGGGUAUAGACCCGAAACCCGGUGAUCUAGCCAUGGGCAGGUUGAAGGUUGGGUAACACUAACUGGAGGACCGAACCGACUAAUGUUGAAAAAUUAGCGGAUGACUUGUGGCUGGGGGUGAAAGGCCAAUCAAACCGGGAGAUAGCUGGUUCUCCCCGAAAGCUAUUUAGGUAGCGCCUCGUGAAUUCAUCUUCGGGGGUAGAGCACUGUUUCGGCUAGGGGGUCAUCCCGACUUACCAACCCGAUGCAAACUACGAAUACCGAAGAAUGUUAUCACGGGAGACACACGGCGGGUGCUAACGUCCGUCGUGAAGAGGGAAACAACCCAGACCGCCAGCUAAGGUCCCAAAGUCAUGGUUAAGUGGGAAACGAUGUGGGAAGGCACAGACAGCCAGGAUGUUGGCUUAGAAGCAGCCAUCAUUUAAAGAAAGCGUAAUAGCUCACUGGUCGAGUCGGCCUGCGCGGAAGAUGUAACGGGGCUAAACCAUGCACCGAAGCUGCGGCAGCGACACUAUGUGUUGUUGGGUAGGGGAGCGUUCUGUAAGCCUGCGAAGGUGUGCUGUGAGGCAUGCUGGAGGUAUCAGAAGUGCGAAUGCUGACAUAAGUAACGAUAAAGCGGGUGAAAAGCCCGCUCGCCGGAAGACCAAGGGUUCCUGUCCAACGUUAAUCGGGGCAGGGUGAGUCGACCCCUAAGGCGAGGCCGAAAGGCGUAGUCGAUGGGAAACAGGUUAAUAUUCCUGUACUUGGUGUUACUGCGAAGGGGGGACGGAGAAGGCUAUGUUAGCCGGGCGACGGUUGUCCCGGUUUAAGCAUGUAGGCUGGUUAUCCAGGCAAAUCCGGAUAAUCAAGGCUGAGGUGUGAUGACGAGGCACUACGGUGCUGAAGUAACAAAUGCCCUGCUUCCAGGAAAAGCCUCUAAGCAUCAGGUAACAUCAAAUCGUACCCCAAACCGACACAGGUGGUCAGGUAGAGAAUACCAAGGCGCUUGAGAGAACUCGGGUGAAGGAACUAGGCAAAAUGGUGCCGUAACUUCGGGAGAAGGCACGCUGGUGUGUAGGUGAAGUCCCUGCGGAUGGAGCUGAGACCAGUCGAAGAUACCAGCUGGCUGCAACUGUUUAUUAAAAACACAGCACUGUGCAAACACGAAAGUGGACGUAUACGGUGUGACGCCUGCCCGGUGCCGGAAGGUUAAUUGAUGGGGUUAUCCGUAAGGAGAAGCUCUUGAUCGAAGCCCCGGUAAACGGCGGCCGUAACUAUAACGGUCCUAAGGUAGCGAAAUUCCUUGUCGGGUAAGUUCCGACCUGCACGAAUGGCGUAAUGAUGGCCAGGCUGUCUCCACCCGAGACUCAGUGAAAUUGAACUCGCUGUGAAGAUGCAGUGUACCCGCGGCAAGACGGAAAGACCCCGUGAACCUUUACUAUAGCUUGACACUGAACAUUGAGCCUUGAUGUGUAGGAUAGGUGGGAGGCUUUGAAGCGUGGACGCCAGUCUGCGUGGAGCCAACCUUGAAAUACCACCCUUUAAUGUUUGAUGUUCUAACGUUGGCCCCUGACCGGGGUUGCGGACAGUGUCUGGUGGGUAGUUUGACUGGGGCGGUCUCCUCCCAAAGCGUAACGGAGGAGCACGAAGGUUAGCUAAUCCUGGUCGGACAUCAGGAGGUUAGUGCAAUGGCAUAAGCUAGCUUGACUGCGAGCGUGACGGCGCGAGCAGGUGCGAAAGCAGGUCAUAGUGAUCCGGUGGUUCUGAAUGGAAGGGCCAUCGCUCAACGGAUAAAAGGUACUCCGGGGAUAACAGGCUGAUACCGCCCAAGAGUUCAUAUCGACGGCGGUGUUUGGCACCUCGAUGUCGGCUCAUCACAUCCUGGGGCUGAAGUAGGUCCCAAGGGUAUGGCUGUUCGCCAUUUAAAGUGGUACGCGAGCUGGGUUUAGAACGUCGUGAGACAGUUCGGUCCCUAUCUGCCGUGGGCGCUGGAGAAUUGAGGGGGGCUGCUCCUAGUACGAGAGGACCGGAGUGGACGCAUCACUGGUGUUCGGGUUGUCAUGCCAAUGGCACUGCCCGGUAGCUAAAUGCGGAAGAGAUAAGUGCUGAAAGCAUCUAAGCACGAAACUUGCCCCGAGAUGAGUUCUCCCUGAGACUUUAAGUCUCCUGAAGGAACGUUAAAGACGAUGACGUUGAUAGGCCGGGUGUGUAAGCGCAGCGAUGCGUUGAGCUAACCGGUACUAAUGAACCGUGAGGCUUAACCUU
rnacentral:rRNA from 1 species